GUCCUACCUGUGAGGACAUCUUGAAGCCCCUCAGCUCUUCACACGAGACCUCACGGUGCAUUCUUCGGCACAUGAACUGCAUCACGUUGAGGUGGUAUGGGCUGAAGCACAAGAUGAAGCUUCAGGUGGACCCUGGCGUAGGAGGCCAGGAUGGCAGCGAGCGGACAGCAGAAAGAGACGACGCAGGCCAGGAGCAGGAAGUGCGGCAUCCAUUGGGAGCUACCGAGGUUGAAGUACUCCAUGCAGGUCCGUCUGCCCUUGUGAUACUGUAGCAUGUUGCGAAACAGCAGAGGAGCAACCUGAGCCGACACCAGAGCCCAAACCAAGCAACAGACCCGGCGGACCAUCUUGACCUGCCGCAGACCGCGCAACCGCUGAGGGUGCACCACGGCCACAUAGCGAUCCAGACUGAUGCAGAUCACCGCCAGGACCAAAGUGUUGCCGCACACGCUGAAAAUGAAGACCAGAGAGUAGAAGAUUGGGAAGAGGACCACGGCGGCUCGCUGAUCAACUAGCACGUCGCAACUACUCCGGUGAUGGUGACUGAACCCAAUGCUGUUGCUUUACGGAUUCUGCACCGACCGACCGGGGCAAGAUCUGUGGUUGGCCACCUCACCAGGGGCAUGGCUUUGGAGAAGUUGACAUCAACCAACGGGGCAAAGGAUGAACCACAUCCUUGAAAGCAUCUUCCUGCAGUGCUUCAUUUAAUUAAAUGGACUCGCAUGAUAUCAGAGUUAACAUUGUACAGCACCGUGUACAGUAUGUGUUAAAUGUUUUGCACACUGCAGCCAUUACAGCCUGGACAUCCUAGUGGGAGGUUUCCCCCAUCUGUGACAUUUCUUGAUUUCUAUGGCUUUUCGUGACCCUAGUGAAAGGAACUGGGAUAGAAAAAAUGAUACUUGGUUGUAGGGAAAUAAACUGGCUUUACAAAGUGCAUUUACUAAUUGCACUGUUUUACAGGAAUAACUCGACUUCCAAGAGACCCAACUUAUUUGGAGAUAGAGAGAUCUGCUUUUUUUCUGCGCUGUGAGCAAAUUUGACUAAUGACAGCAAAAUGUAAAAAAAAAAAAGGAAGAGAGCGUCUUGCUUGCCAUUCCCAGUUGAAGUUUAAAUUUAAAGCAACGACAAUGUCAUAUUAUGCAUUUAACCAAACGCCAUAACGAAUGAAAGACAGCUAGCUUAAUACUAACACGUGAUACAAAACCCCGAUGUUGGACUUACAAAAGUAGCAUUGAUGUCGUGGUAGUUAUAAGUUAACUCUCUCAGUAAUAAAUUGUUUAACACAAAUGGUGCAGCAACACAUGCAGACGAUAGGCAUGGGCCGAUUACCAAUUUGAGUUUAUCAAGGUUUUUAAAGUCAAAGUUUCAAUAACCAUUAAACCUGUCUGCCACGAAUGAUGAGCUUUUUUUUCCAGGGGUGGUAGACUUCUAAGUAGCAAUAAAUAUUUGGAAUUUUUUAAAAAAUGUACAUACUGUAUACAUUCAGUGUAUAUUUUUACUUUUAGACAAAUGACGUGCCCCAUGUGUCCUUUUAAAAGAUCAAAUGUGGCCCUUGAGCACAAAGGUUUGCCCACCCUUGAUUUAAUGGGUCAUCUUGGGCAGGGUGUGGCAAACUAUGGCCUUGGGGCCAUAGUUGUCACUGUCAUGAGGUGGGAGAUGGUAGUGGACGUUUUGUCAUUUAAUCUGGCUCACAAAGCAUUUACAUCAUUUACUGUCAUAUUAGAAUUAUUGGAUUAAUGUAGUCGG